ensembl:lncRNA
AGUAUUCUCUCCUACUGCUGUAAGUUCUACUAAAUGAAAUGUAACUUUUGUUUGUUUAAAGGUUUGCUGAUGAUAUUUUGAGAAGUUCAACAACCUGGAUGUCCUACCAAGAUCCUGUUGAUAGUUCUGUGGCUCCUGAAGCCCAGGACCCUUAAUUCAGAAACAGGGAAAACAACUGAGGCCUUCGGUGAUGGGGAUACCAUGUUUUAGGAAAAGUACAAAAUGAAGAGUAGUCUCUCUGGAAUAUGAAGAACAAGAUGGGAAGGACUGAAGACACUAAGGUAAACCAUUAGUUUUCCCAGCUAAGCCUCUAUUUCAGUUCUACAUUUUCAAGGCAAAGUGCUGUGUGCCUUUCUUUCCUUUGAUUAUUGAACUGUGAUCCU